rnacentral:rRNA from 1 species
CCUACGGGUGGCAGCAGUGGGGAAUAUUGCACAAUGGGGGAAACCCUGAUGCAGCGACGCCGCGUGAGCGAAGACGUAUUUCGGUAUGUAAAGCUCUAUCAGCAGGGAAGAAAAUGACGGUACCUGACUAAGAAGCCCCGGCUAACUACGUGCCAGCAGCCGCGGUAAGACGUAGGGGGCAAGCGUUAUCCGGAUUUACUGGGUGUAAAGGGAGCGUAGACGGCUUUGCAAGUCUGAAGUGAAAGCCCAGGGCUCAACCUUGGGACUGCUUUGGAAACUGUAGAGCUUGAGUACCGGAGGGGUAAGCGGAAUUCGUAGUGUAGCGGUGAAAUGCGUAGAUAUUAAGAGGAACACCGGUGGCGAAGGCAGCUUACUGGACGGUAACUGACGUUGAGGCUCGAAAGCGUGGGGAGCAAACAGGAUUAGAUACCCUUGUAGUC